ensembl:lncRNA
UGACUGCCUACCAUGGAUAUUCAGGGAGAUUAGAUCACUGUGACUACCUAUGCAGUCUUUCUCUACCUUUAAAGAUCCAAGGAACUAUUCUCACUCCAGUGACCUGUUGAAACUUUCUCCAGUGCCCAUGUGUUGAAGACUCUUCCCCAUCUUUUCUUCUAUUAGUGUAGUGCCCACCUCGACCAGCAAGGAAGACACAUCACCGUUGGAUUCUUCUCAACAGCCUUUAUUUCAGGAAAACCUCAUUCUUGAUGAGGGGGGCCCCGAGGGAAAAAAGGCACUCCCCCUAAAUACAAGAAAGGCUGUGG